GACGAACGCUGGCGGCGUGCCUAAUACAUGCAAGUUGAGCGCUGAAGGUUGGUACUUGUACCAACUGGAUGAGCAGCGAACGGGUGAGUAACGCGUGGGGAAUCUGCCUUUGAGCGGGGGACAACAUUUGGAAACGAAUGCUAAUACCGCAUAAAAACUUUAAACACAAGUUUUAAGUUUGAAAGAUGCAAUUGCAUCACUCAAAGAUGAUCCCGCGUUGUAUUAGCUAGUUGGUGAGGUAAAGGCUCACCAAGGCGAUGAUACAUAGCCGGCCUGAGAGGGUGAUCGGCCACAUUGGGACUGAGACACGGCCCAAACUCCUACGGGAGGCCGCAGUAGGGAAUCUUCGGCAAUGGACGAAAGUCUGACCGAGCAACGCCGCGUGAGUGAAGAAGGUUUUCGGAUCGUAAAACUCUGUUGGUAGAGAAGAACGUUGGUGAGAGUGGAAAGCUCAUCAAGUGACGGUAACUACACAGAAAGGGACGGCUAACUACGUG
rnacentral:rRNA from 1 species